rnacentral:rRNA from 1 species
AUUGAACGCUGGCGGCAUGCCUUACACAUGCAAGUCGAACGGCAGCACGGGAGCAAUCCUGGUGGCGAGUGGCGAACGGGUGAGUAAAAUAUCGGAACGUGCCCAGUCGUGGGGGAUAACGUAGCGAAAGUUACGCUAAUACCGCAUACGAUCUAUGGAUGAAAGCGGGGGAUCGCAAGACCUCGCGCGAUUGGAGCGGCCGAUAUCAGAUUAGGUAGUGGGUGGGGUAAAUGCUCACCAAGCCGACGAUCUGUAGCUGGUCUGAGAGGACGACGAGCCGAACUGGGACUGAGAAACGGCCCAGAGUGCUACGGGAGGCAGCAGUGGGGAAUUGUGGACAAUGGGCGAAAGCCUGAUCCAGCCAUGCCGCGUGCAGGAUGAAGGCCUUCGGGUUGUAAACUGCUUUUAUACGGAACGAAAAGGUUUGGCCUAAUAAGCUGAGCUCAUGACGGUACCGUAAGAAUAAGCACCGGCUAACUACGUGCCAGCCGCCGCAGUAA